rnacentral:rRNA from 1 species
GCAAGUCGAGCGGUAACGACACUAACCAUCUUUCUGGUGUGUUAAUGGGCGUCGAGCGGCGGACGGGUGAGUAAUGCGUAGGAAAUUGCCUUGAUGUGGGGGAUAACCAAGGGAAACGAGGGCUAAUACCGCAUAACGUCUACGGACCAAAGAGGGGGACCUUCGGACCUCGCGCUUCAGGAUAUGCCUAGGUGGGAUUAGCUAGUUGGUGAGGUAAGGGCUCACCAAGGCGACGAUCCCUAGCUGGUCUGAGAGGAUGAUC